GUUGUGCCCUUGAGGCGUGGCUUCCGGAGCUAACGCGUUAAGUAGACCGCCUGGGGAGUACGGCCGCAAGGUUAAAACUCAAAUGAAUUGACGGGGGCCCGCACAAGCGGUGGAGCAUGUGGUUUAAUUCGAUGCAACGCGAAGAACCUUACCUGGUCUUGACAUCCACAGAACUUUCCAGAGAUGGAUUGGUGCCUUCGGGAACUGUGAGACAGGUGCUGCAUGGCUGUCGUCAGCUCGUGUUGUGAAAUGUUGGGUUAAGUCCCGCAACGAGCGCAACCCUUAUCCUUUGUUGCCAGCGGUCCGGCCGGGAACUCAAAGGAGACUGCCAGUGAUAAACUGGAGGAAGGUGGGGAUGACGUCAAGUCAUCAUGGCCCUUACGACCAGGGCUACACACGUGCUACAAUGGCGCAUACAAAGAGAAGCGACCUCGCGAGAGUAAGCGGACCUCAUAAAGUGCGUCGUAGUCCGGAUUGGAGUCUGCAACUCGACUCCAUGAAGUCGGAAUCGCUAGUAAUCGUGGAUCAGAAUGCCACGGUGAAUACGUUCCCGGGCCUUGUACACACCGCCCGUCACACCAUGGGAGUGGGUUGCAAAAGAAGUAGGUAGCUUAACCUUCGGGGGGGCGCUUACCACUUUGUGAUUCAUGACUGGGGUGAAGUCGUAACAAGGUAACCGUAGGGGAACCUGCGGUUGGAUCACCUCCUUACCUUAAAGAAGC
rnacentral:rRNA from 1 species